AGAGUUUGAUCAUGGCUCAGGAUGAACGCUAGCGGGAGGCUUAACACAUGCAAGUCGGGCGGGAUUUCCCUUCGGGGAUUGAGAGCGGCGGACGGGUGAGUAACGCGUAUGCAACCUGCCUUUUACAGGGGAAUAGCCCAGGGAAACUUGGAUUAAUGCCCCAUGGCACUAUUAUUCCGCAUGGGACAAUAGUUAAAGAUUUAUCGGUAAGAGAUGGGCAUGCGUGGCAUUAGGUAGUUGGCGGGGCAACGGCCCACCAAGCCUGCGAUGCCUAGGGGUUCUGAGAGGACGGUCCCCCACACUGGUACUGAGACACGGACCAGACUCCUACGGGAGGCAGCAGUGAGGAAUAUUGGUCAAUGGGCGGAAGCCUGAACCAGCCAUCCCGCGUGAAGGAAGGCUGCCCUAUGGGUUGUAAACUUCUUUUAUGUGCCAGGAAUGUGCCCUACGUGUAGGGUUUUGACAGCAGCACAUGAAUAAGCACCGGCUAACUCCGUGCCAGCAGCCGCGGUAAUACGGAGGGUGCGAGCGUUAUCCGGAUUCAUUGGGUUUAAAGGGUGCGUAGGCGGCAUGAUAAGUCAGUGGUGAAAUCCUGCGGCUCAACCGUAGAACUGCCAUUGAUACUGUCAGGCUUGAAUUCAGAUGAGGUAGGCGGAAUGUGCAGUGUAGCGGUGAAAUGCUUAGAUAUUGCACAGAACACCGAUUGCGGAGGCAGCUUACUAAACUGCGAUUGACGCUGAUGCACGAAAGCGUGGGUAGCGAACAGGAUUAGAUACCCCAGUAGUCC
rnacentral:rRNA from 1 species